rnacentral:rRNA from 1 species
AGUGAACGCUGGCGGUAGGCCUAACACAUGCAAGUCGACCGGCAGCACAGUAAGAGCUUGCUCUUACGGGUGGCGAGUGGCGGACGGGUGAGGAAUACAUCGGAAUCUACUUUUUCGUGGGGGAUAACGAAGGGAAACUUACGCUAAUACCGCAUACGACCUACGGGUGAAAACAGGGGAUCUUCUGACCUUGCUGGAAUGAAUUUGCCGAGCUUGGGUUAGUUGGUUGGCGGGGUAAAGGCCCACCAAGGCGACGAUCCGUAGCUGGUCGGGGAGGAUGGUAAGCCACACUGGAGCGGGGACACGGACAAGACUACUACGAGAGGCAGCAGUGGGGAAUAUUGGACAGUGGGCGCAAGCAUGAGCCAGCCGUACCGGGUGGGUGAAGAAGGCCUUCGGGUUGUAAAGCACUUUUGUUGGGAAAGAAAAGCAGCAGGUUAAUACCCCGCUGUUCUGACGGUACCCAAAGAAUAAGCACCGGCUAACUUCGU